rnacentral:rRNA from 1 species
CAGCCGUAAACUAUGCUCGCUAGGUGUCAGGCAUGGCGCGACCGUGUCUGGUGCCGCAGGGAAGCCGUGAAGCGAGCCACCUGGGAAGUACGGCCGCAAGGCUGAAACUUAAAGGAAUUGGCGGGGGAGCACAACAACGGGUGGAGCCUGCGGUUUAAUUGGACUCAACGCCGGACAACUCACCGGGAACGACAGCAAUAUGUAGGCCAGGCUGAAGACCUUGCCUGAAUCGCUGAGAGGGUGGUGCAUGGCGUAGACGUCU